GUCGAACGAUGAACCACUUCGGUGGGGAUUAGUGGCGAACGGGUGAGUAACACGUGGGCAAUCUGCCCUGCACUCUGGGACAAGCCCUGGAAACGGGGUCUAAUACCGGAUAUGACCAUCUUGGGCAUCCUUGAUGGUGUAAAGCUCCGGCGGUGCAGGAUGAGCCCGCGGCCUAUCAGCUUGUUGGUGAGGUAACGGCUCACCAAGGCGACGACGGGUAGCCGGCCUGAGAGGGCGACCGGCCACACUGGGACUGAGACACGGCCCAGACUCCUACGGGAGGCAGCAGUGGGGAAUAUUGCACAAUGGGCGCAAGCCUGAUGCAGCGACGCCGCGUGAGGGAUGACGGCCUUCGGGUUGUAAACCUCUUUCAGCAGGGAAGAAGCGAAAGUGACGGUACCUGCAGAAGAAGCGCCGGCUAACUACGUGCCAGCAGCCGCGGUAAUACGUAGGGCGCAAGCGUUGUCCGGAAUUAUUGGGCGUAAAGAGCUCGUAGGCGGCUUGUCACGUCGGUUGUGAAAGCCCGGGGCUUAACCCCGGGUCUGCAGUCGAUACGGGCAGGCUAGAGUUCGGUAGGGGAGAUCGGAAUUCCUGGUGUAGCGGUGAAAUGCGCAGAUAUCAGGAGGAACACCGGUGGCGAAGGCGGAUCUCUGGGCCGAUACUGACGCUGAGGAGCGAAAGCGUGGGGAGCGAACAGGAUUAGAUACCCUGGUAGUCCACGCCGUAAACGGUGGGCACUAGGUGUGGGCAACAUUCCACGUUGUCCGUGCCGCAGCUAACGCAUUAAGUGCCCCGCCUGGGGAGUACGGCCGCAAGGCUAAAACUCAAAGGAAUUGACGGGGG
rnacentral:rRNA from 1 species